CGGUGUGCGGGCGCUGUAACCGCGCUGUGUCACACAACUGCAGUCUGGGUAACAGUGCUCUUGUCCUGUCUGGAGAUGAGGCGGUAAAGCAGGUCUUCUGUGUCAGAGGAGACCGUCCUCACACCUUCCUGUGUCUGACAGCACUACUGGUAUGAUAAAGCCACUUCAGCAGGAACUAGGAGCCAGGACAGUGGCAGAGGGGAAUUUUCUUCAAUUUCGGACAAGGCAGCCUUGAGUCUUUUUUCCCAUACAGGUUCAGUCUGUGGCUGCUCCAGUACAGGGUUCAUAGGUAUCCACAGGAAUAACCUUGGGGAUCUCCCAAAGGAGUGGAAGUAGGGAGGGGACACUCCUAAACUGAAAGGAGAACGUUGCUUCCUAAGUCGAGAGGAUAACAUUGCGUCCAAAUGAGGCAUCUUGAGAGGCAAAUGUAUCAAAGGCGAAGAACCUGAGAAACGUUUGGACAGAGAACCACGUGGCUGCCUUGCACAUUUUCAACAAAGGUCCCAAAGAUCGAAAAGAGUGAGCAGCGAUUGUAUCCGGGACAGGUAGACCAGCUUGUGUAUAAGCCUGUGAGAUAAUCAUGUGUAGUUAUCUAGCCACAAUCUGCUUGUUAGCUGACCAGCCUCGCUUGCGAAUCCAUAGAGGACAAGUAAUGAAUCCUUUUUGCGGAAAGAACUAGAUCAGUCCCUGUAGAUACGAAGAGCAUGGACCACAUCCAAGGAAGACUCUCCUACAGAGCGCUGAUUCAUCUGUUGCUAUGUGAGUGGGACAAUAAAACAUCUUGUCCUCAUUGUUGCCAUCAUUUAUUUGCACUAUUGUGUUGUUCUUUUUGAGUUUCAGAAUAAGACCUCCUAUGUGAAAA